AAAUUUGAAAUCCGGCCCCCCCUGGGGGCCUGAGUUGUAAUUUGCAGAGGAUGCUUCGGGCGCGACCGCGGUCCAAGUCCCCUGGAACGGGGCGUCGUAGAGGGUGAGAAUCCCGUCUCCGGCCGGCCGGUCUCGCCCGUGUGAAGCUCCUUCGACGAGUCGAGUUGUUUGGGAAUGCAGCUCCAAAUGGGUGGUAAAUUUCAUCUAAAGCUAAAUACUGGUCGGAGACCGAUAGCGCACAAGUAGAGUGAUCGAAAGAUGAAAAGCACUUUGAAAAGAGAGUUAAACAGCAUGUGAAUUUGUUGAAAGGGAAGCGCUUGCGACCAGAGUCGGCCGCGGGGGCUCAGCGGGCAUUCGUUGCCCGUGCAAUCCCCCGCGGCCGGGCCAGCGUCGGUUUCGACGGCCGGUCAAAGGCCCCCGGAAUGUGUCGCCUCUCGGGGCGUCUUAUAGCCGGGGGUGCAAUGCGGCCAGUCGGGACCGAGGACCGCGCUCCGGCACGGACGCUGGCUUAAUGGUCGUCAGCGACCC
rnacentral:rRNA from 1 species